ensembl:lncRNA
UGAGGAGAAAGCAAAACCGGCAGAAACUUGGAAGAACUGCUAGAGAGUUAGCAAAGACACUGGAAGAUUAAGGUGUGUAUUUUAAUUAAUUCUGCUUGAGAAGAUUACUGAACUUCCUGACAGAUUCACAGGAUGUAGAGAAGAGAGUCACAACAUGAGCAAAGCAGAAGGAUGUUCUAUCAGCGGUCAGAGCUGGUGGAUAUAAAGCAGUAUCAGCACUUCACAAAAACAAGAAACCACCACAGCAACCAACCAAAGACAGAAGACCCCCCGAAACUCGCCCGGAGGCCUCCCCACCCCCCUCCGCCUCAGCGCCCGCCCCC